rnacentral:rRNA from 1 species
CUCUCGGCAACGGAUAUCUCGGCUCUCGCAUCGAUGAAGAACGUAGCGAAAUGCGAUACCUGGUGUGAAUUGCAGAAUCCCGUGAACCAUCGAGUCUUUGAACGCAAGUUGCGCCCGAGGCCAUCCGGCCAAGGGCACGCCUGCCUGGGCAUCAC